rnacentral:rRNA from 1 species
AUUCCAGCUCCAAGAGCGUAUAUUAAAGUUGCUGCGGUUAAAAAGCUCGUAGUUGGAUUUCAGUCUAGGAAGGUUAACUCGCCGAAAGGUUGUACGUUGAUUUUCCUCAGACUUCGUCAGAAGCUCGUGCUGCACUUAACUGUGUGGUACGAUGUUCUGACCUUUUACCUUGAGGAAAGUAGAGUGUUUCAGGCAGGCUACCCAGCUUGAAUACAUUAGCAUGGAAUAAUGAAAUGGAUCUCGGUUCGAUUUCGUUGGUUCUAGAGCUGAGGUGAUGAUCAAUAGGAACAGGCGAAGGUAUUCGUACUUGAGAGUGAGGAGUGAAAUCCGAUGAUCCCUUAAAGACGAUCCGAGGCGAAAGCAUUUGUCAAGGAUGUUUUCAUUG